rnacentral:rRNA from 1 species
CAGCAGCCGCGGGAAUACGUAGGUGGCAAGCGUUGUCCGGAAUUAUUGGGCGUAAAGGGCUCGCAGGCGGUUUCUUAAGUCUGAUGUGAAAGCCCCCGGCUCAACCGGGGAGGGUCAUUGGAAACUGGGAAACUUGAGUGCAGAAGAGGAGAGUGGAAUUCCACGUGUAGCGGUGAAAUGCGUAGAGAUGUGGAGGAACACCAGUGGCGAAGGCGACUCUCUGGUCUGUAACUGACGCUGGGGAGCGAAAGCGUGGGGAGCGAACAGGAUUAGAUACCCCAGUAGUCCCUGUCUCUUAUAC